rnacentral:rRNA from 1 species
UACAGAGGUCUCAAGCGUUGUUCGGAUUCAUUGGGCGUAAAGGGCGCGUAGGUGGCGGGACAAGCGUGCGGUGAAAGCUCGGGGCUCAACCCCGAGUCGGCCGUGCGAACUGUUUUGCUGGAGCACUGUAGAGGCAGGCGGAAUUCCGGGUGUAGCGGUGGAAUGUGUAGAGAUCCGGAAGAACACCGGUGGCGAAGGCGGCCUGCUGGGCAGUUGCUGACACUGAGGCGCGACAGCGUGGGGAGCAAACAGG